AAUUAAAUAUUUUUACCUUUUUUUUUUUUUUUUUUCCCUUCACCGGCCUUUCUCUUCUCCUUCAUCACCUUUCUCCCAAAGCUGGCUCACCUCUUCUCAUUCAUGAAGAUUUCUUCACUUAGUUGCCUUUUUUCCAAACAACCUGAUUUUAUCUCUCAGGUCACUAAAAUUCCAUACAUACCUGUUCAAUUUGAUAGUUCGGAAUUCGGAAUUAGGGUAUUGUGAAGAAAGAGAAUUUUAAAAGAAUUAGGGUAUUGCGUUGCCACCUCGUUACAAAAAAUUCCUUUUUCUUCCACGCAAUCCAAUACCCAAUAGCCCAAACCCCUCUCCAUCAUCUUUUCGUUUCCUCUACCUUUUGUUUUUUUAAGAAAAAAAAAACAUUACAUUACUCAAAAAUUUAAUUUAAUAUCCUUUUUCAACCUUCUCGUUGUUAUUUCUUUUUGUUCCUUUGGUGUUUCUUCAACCCUUGUUUUAUGUUUCCGCGAACCAGAGAAUCAGCCAAACUGUUUUUCUAGAUUGUUAAGGCUUCAGAAGAAGCUGCGUACGUCAGAGACCUCUCAGAUGAUUUGCUGCAGCCAACUACAAAACGGUCUCACAAUGUCUCAACCAAGGAAGUCAUAUUCUGGAAAAUUUUUAAGUGCCAACAAUUGAAGUGUUCCCUGCAGCUGCUCUAACACCUGCACUAGCAGCACCAGAGAUGAGAAUGAAUGAGUGACUGAGGGAGGAAUCAGAAGCCCUUUGUUGGAGAACCCGAAUAUAUCCCCCUAGAAAGGCUUGCCAGACAAGGCAUCAACAACAAGAUUUUCAUUUGGUUGGGUAGGUUCUUCCAUGUGGUACUGUCAAAUAGCUGGUGAAAAUCUGAGAGUUUCGAUAUGUUUGCCUGCAUUUGGGAAGCUUCAUAAAAAAGUAUUGCAGAUGCCUUCUGUGGGUUUGGGUUAUCAAAUGUUGAACUAAGCGAGCUUGUCUUGUCCUGUGCUCCCUUUUUGCUUUGUAUAAACAUUCUUUUUGGAAAAAAGGAAUAUAUAUAUUUAGGAAUCAAUUUCUAAAAUGAUUAAUAGGAAGAGUAACUCUUGGAAUCCGUCAUUUCUAUUACAAUAGGUAUGACUCAAAAUUUGAUAUGCAGCAAUAUUUGGUGGUGAUUAUACUGAAUGUAUCAUUUUUUUAGGACAAUGACCAAGAUUUUUUCUUGCAGUCUUGAUAUUACAGAUAAUAAAUUCAAACCAUGCCAUGGGCAGCGAUUCUUGAAAAAGUUGUCCAAUUACAAAGUUUGCAACAGCUUUGUGUGGUUAAGGAUCUUUCUGCUCAUGAUGUGGUGAUGCAAUUGAUGCAGAAGGAAAACUACUUGAUCGGAAUGCUUAAAAAGGGAGUACUUGCAUUUCCAAUCUCAAAAUGGGUCCCUGGUGCUGGUCCAACUGUCAAAUCUGGUUCAAAGGGAAAGUGCCGUCGUUUGAUACUGACUAAAACCCUUGAGUGGACCUUAAAUUGGUGCAUACUACAGAGCAUGUUUGAUAGUGGAGUUGGAAGGUUUGAAAAAAGCACACAUUCGAGAUGGCGUUGCAGUGGUGCAAUAUCUUGUCUGGUUGGAUAAGCAGGAGAUAUAUGGGGUUUCUGGUUACUUCUUGGAAGGAGACGAAGUGACUAAGAAAAAGCAAUUGUAAGUUCAUUUUUUGUUUUUCGUUUUUUUUUUUUUUUUUUUUUGGUUUUUUUAGGUUGUUAUGCAACAUCUAACAUUUGAUUGAGAUACCAGUUGAGAUGUAUUGUGGCCUAAAUAUUUCCUGAAAGAGGAAUGUAAAAAGACAUAAACCGUAUCAGACAAUUUGUCAGUACACAACUUGUGUAUAUUUCUAUGUGUUUGCAUGCAAUGCUCUGCUUGUGCAGUUUCAAUACACACUAAUCAAAUAAUGAUGGAAUGAUUGCAAGCAUGGCAAAUUUCACCAUAUAAAGAUAAAUAAAGUGUUUUCCAUUUCAAAUGAACUUUGACAUGGAUAUGCUAAUUCCUACUUUAGCAACCACUUUCAAAAGCUAGCAUGACAUUCGAUGCAUAACAAAUUCCAAUAUAUCAAGAGAAAUAAAGGGUUGUCCACUUUUAAAAUGAACUUUGACAUGGAUAUGUUAAUUCCUACUUUAUUAACUACUUUCAAAUGUUCUUGUUAAAAAGUGAUAUAGUUGAAAAUGCUAUACUGCAGUAAGUGCUAAUCUAUUUUGUUUUUCCUUUUUAUUAUCAUUAUUAUUAUUAUAUUUUUUUGAGUCUUGCAAAGUAAUUUUGUUUGCUUUAUUUUGCAAGUCCUCAAGGGUCAUAUUGAACUUGGGAAUGCUCAA